AUCUAGCCGACAAGUCCCAAAUAGGACAAAACACAUGUACUGGAU
rfam:Schistosoma mattheei strain Denwood, Zambia genome assembly, scaffold: SMTD_scaffold0010020